rnacentral:misc_RNA from 1 species
UGGUUCCAGCAUCGAUGAAGAACGCAGCGAACUGCGAUAAGUAAUGUGAAUUGCAGAAUUCAGUGAAUCAUCGAGUCUUUGAACGCACAUUGCGCCCCCUGGCAUUCCGGGGGGCAUGCCUGUUCGAGCGUCAUUACACUACUCAGGCUCUGCCUGGCGAUGGGCACGGGUCUCGCCAGACCGGCCCGGAAUCGAGCGGCGACCCCGCCAAUCCCCAAGCGCAUUGAGUGCAAACUCGCUUCGAGGGCUGCGGCGGUGGGUGCCGGGGAAGACGGGUGCCACGCACCCAGCGAUUGACCUCGGAUCAGGCAGGAAUACCCGCUGA